CCCGCUCCUCGGGCCGCCAGAGGCGCCGGGAUGGCGGGCGCAGGCUGUGCCAGCAGCUCCUGGGAGGCUGCGUUCGCACACCGGCGGGGCCUGAGACCUGGGAGGAAGCUGGAGAAAAGAUGCCCUCUGAAUCUUUCUGUUUGGUUGCCCAGGCUCGGCUUGACUCCAAAUGGUUGAAAACAGAUACACAGCUGUGCGGUCAGAGAAGAAAUGCCUUAGGAAGCCAAGCAAGUGGCUUUUGGAAUAUACAGAAGAAUAUGAUCAGAUAUUUACUCCUAAGAAAAAACAAGAGAAGGUACAGGAGCAGGU